AUUGAACGCUGGCGGCAUGCUUUACACAUGCAAGUCGGACGGCAGCACAGAGAAGCUUGCUUCUUGGGUGGCGAGUGGCGAACGGGUGAGUAAUAUAUCGGAACGUACCGAGUAAUGGGGGAUAACUAAUCGAAAGAUUAGCUAAUACCGCAUAUUCUCUGAGGAGGAAAGCAGGGGACCUUCGGGCCUUGCGUUAUUCGAGCGGCCGAUAUCUGAUUAGCUAGUUGGUGGGGUAAAGGCCUACCAAGGCGACGAUCAGUAGCGGGUCUGAGAGGAUGAUCCGCCACACUGGGACUGAGACACGGCCCAGACUCCUACGGGGGGCAGCAGUGGGGAAUUUUGGACAAUGGGCGCAAGCCUGAUCCAGCCAUGCCGCGUGUCUGAAGAAGGCCUUCGGGUUGUAAAGGACUUUUGUCAGGGAAGAAAAGGCUGUUGCUAAUAUCGACAGCUGAUGACGGUACCUGAAGAAUAAGCACCGGCUAACUACGUGCCAGCAGCCGCGGUAAUACGUAGGGUGCGAGCGUUAAUCGGAAUUACUGGGCGUAAAGCGAGCGCAGACGGUUACUUAAGCAGGAUGUGAAAUCCCCGGGCUCAACCUGGGAACUGCGUUCUGAACUGGGUGACUAGAGUGUGUCAGAGGGAGGUAGAAUUCCACGUGUAGCAGUGAAAUGCGUAGAGAUGUGGAGGAAUACCGAUGGCGAAGGCAGCCUCCUGGGAUAACACUGACGUUCAUGCUCGAAAGCGUGGGUAGCAAACAGG
rnacentral:rRNA from 1 species